UCAGGAUGAACGCUGGCGGCGUGCCUAACACAUGCAAGUCGAGCGAUUACUUCGGUAAAGAGCGGCGGACGGGUGAGUAACGCGUGGGUAACCGCCUCAUACACAUGGAUAACAUACCGAAAGGUAUGCUAAUACAGGAUAAUAUAAGAGAUUCACAUGGAUUUUUUAUCAAAGCUCCGGCGGUAUGAGAUGGACCCGCGUCUGAUUAGCUAGUUGGUAAGGUAAUGGCUUACCAAGGCGACGAUCAGUAGCCGACCUGAGAGGGUGAUCGGCCACAUUGGAACUGAGACACGGUCCAAACUCCUACGGGAGGCAGCAGUGGGGAAGUAUUGCACAAUGGGCGAAAGCCUGAUGCAGCAACGCCGCGUGAGUGAUGAAGGCCUUCGGGUCGUAAAACUCUGUCCUCAAGGAAGAUAAUGACGGUACUUGAGGAGGAAGCCCCGGCUAACUACGUGCCAGCAGCAGC
rnacentral:rRNA from 1 species